rnacentral:rRNA from 1 species
GACGAACGCUGGCGGCAUGCUUUACACAUGCAAGUCGAACGGCAGCGCGGGCUUCGGCCUGGCGGCGAGUGGCGAACGGGUGAGUAAUACAUCGGAACGUGCCCAGUAGUGGGGGAUAGCUCGGCGAAAGCCGGAUUAAUACCGCAUACGACCUGAGGGUGAAAGCGGGGGAUCUUCGGGCCUCGCGCUAUUGGAGCGGCCGAUGGCAGAUUAGCUAGUUGGUGGGGUAAAGGCCUACCAAGGCGACGAUCUGUAGCUGGUCUGAGAGGACGACCAGCCACACUGGGACUGAGACACGGCCCAGACUCCUACGGGAGGCAGCAGUGGGGAAUUUUGGACAAUGGGCGAAAGCCUGAUCCAGCAAUGCCGCGUGUGUGAUGAAGGCCUUCGGGUUGUAAAGCACUUUUGGCGGGAACGAAAAGGACUGUGCCAAUACCACGGUUCGAUGACGGUACCCGCAGAAUAAGCACCGGCUAACUACGUG